rnacentral:rRNA from 1 species
AUGAGGAACUUGCCCUGGCUAGUGGCGGGUGAUUUCAAUGAAAUUCUUCAAGUAAAUGAAAAAGAGGGUGGUGCUGUACCAACCCAAAGGAGCAUGCAGUUGUUCAGUGAGGCACUUUCUGAUUGCGGCCUAGACGAUCUUGGGUGCGCGGGUGAUUUGUUUACAUGGCGUCGAGGUCAGUUACGCGAGCGUUUGGACCGCGCAGUGGGAAAUAUGUUGUGGGCAGACUUGUUCCCAGGGUUUGUCGUGUUUAAUGAGGACUUUUAUAAGUCAGACCAUCGUCCAGUUUUG